UGGUGGGCAAGCCCGGAGCCAGAACUGCCGCCGAGGAGACACAGAUACCGGACCCAAAGACAUUCAAGCAGCACUUUGACAGCAAGCAUCCCAAGUCUCCAAUACUUCCAGAGCUGGUUGCUGUUGAGGCUUAAAAGACCACACACACACACAAUGGACCUACAGCUGGGAUAAGAUGCUCUCAUCAUUCAGACUCACAGUAUACAUACACACGAUGACCACGAUUUGAGCGCUGCAACUGGGACUGAAUGGCGUCAAGGGACAAAACACUGAGACCCCUGGACAUGGGUG